GACGGACGCUGGCGGCGUGCUUAACACAUGCAAGUCGAACGAUGACGCCCGAGCUUGCUCGGUCUGAUUAGUGGCGAACGGGUGAGUAACACGUGAGCAACCUGCCCUUCACUCUGGGAUAACCUCGGGAAAUCGGGGCUAAUACCGGAUAUGAGCUCCUGUCGCAUGGCGGGUGUUGGAAAGUUUUUCGGUGAAGGAUGGGCUCGCGGCCUAUCAGUUUGUUGGUGAGGUAGUGGCUCACCAAGGCGAUGACGGGUAGCCGGCCUGAGAGGGCGACCGGCCACACUGGGACUGAGACACGGCCCAGACUCCUACGGGAGGCAGCAGUGGGGAAUAUUGCACAAUGGGCGAAAGCCUGAUGCAGCGACGCCGCGUGAGGGAUGACGGCCUUCGGGUUGUAAACCUCUUUCAGCAGGGAAGAAGCGAAAGUGACGGUACCUGCAGAAGAAGCGCCGGCUAACUACGUG
rnacentral:rRNA from 1 species